GUUAAAAUACACGUUAAUACGUCUCGAAGCUUGCACAGCAUUCGCGAUUAUUUUGCUUUAGCUGGUGAUGGUGUUAACUGAAAGCGCAGAUAUACAUUAAUGCGAGUCUUAAUGUGAAGUUUGAGAUUUCUCUGUUGACUUCUUAUCCACUGAAUGAAUUUCAGUUGGAUAGCAUACGCUUCAGUUCCAGUUUUCCCGGAUUUAACCGUUGUUUUCUCACCUUUGCAUCUAGGUAAGACGUUUGCUCACCUGAGUGGUUAAAUGCUGUUGCAAAUGUUUUUCUCAAAGUACUGGAAACAAUGAUGGAGUUUUGAAAUCAACAUUGAGGCCCAACAUCAUAUGGAGUUAAUGUACCACCACUAGUGAAGAAUGCCAUGUACUGCCAGAAGUUUCCUCAACAUAUCGAAGUAUUGCUGCACCUGGUGCAUAUGUUCCUGUUACCCAGAUAUACUGAGCAAUAAAUAUGAUGGUGGCAGUACUUGACUUAAUGCUAAAAAUGCUGCAGGGUGGAAUGCAUUUGAGGAAUGAGGGGAAAAAGAGCCUUGCGUGUUGGCAACAUGGAAACUGUUUCAGAGAGAUGUUAUACGUUACCUGACAAUUCACUCUUUCUCGCGGACGUCCAGCAUUUUAUCCGGAGAAUAAAUCCAAGCAAAUUGCGUUGUCCAAAUUUGCAGUAAUUUCUAUUAUGUGUGGUCAGAUGUUUUAUGGAAAUAUAAAUCAUAGAACGAA